rnacentral:rRNA from 1 species
CCUGGGAGGCAGCAGUGGGGGAUAUUGCACAAUGGGGGGAACCCUGAUGCAGCGACGCCGCGUGGGUGAAGAAGCGCCUCGGCGCGUAAAGCCCUGUCAGCAGGGAAGAAAAUGACGGUACCUGAAGAAGAAGCCCCGGCUAACUACGUGCCAGCAGCCGCGGUAAUACGUAGGGGGCAAGCGUUAUCCGGAUUUACUGGGUGUAAAGGGGGCGCAGACGGCGAUGCAAGCCAGGAGUGAAAGCCCGGGGCCCAACCCCGGGACUGCUCUUGGAACUGCGUGGCUGGAGUGCAGGAGGGGCAGGCGGAAUUCCUGGUGUAGCGGUGAAAUGCGUAGAUAUCAGGAGGAACCCCGAUUGCGAAGGCAGCCUUCCGGCGCCCUACUGACGCUGAGGCACGAAAGUGCGGGGAUCGAACAGGAUUAGAUACCCUUGUAGUC